rnacentral:lncRNA from 1 species
CGUUUACUAGCAGGUGCAAAACCAUCAUUGGAUCCCUCACCUAACAGUUAUUAGGCCCAACCCCAUCCUUACUCUGGAGCAACUCUUUGUUAAUAGAGUGGUUGUGCAUUUUCAGUACAACUGAACCAUUAUAACUAGUUGAGAAUAAUCAAUACCAGUACCAUAUCCGCAUAUCUAUAAUGCUGGAAGAUCUAUGGACUUAAUAUUUAUAAGGAAGUUUAGGUUUAGGUCUCAUCUAAUUAGGCAUCAUAUGACUGAUCUAAUUGGCAUGGGCUAAACCAAACCGUCAAGCAACCUUAUUUAAGACUCAAUCUUUCAAAUUGAUCAGAUAAGU